UUGGAUUGUCCUUUGGGCCCGGAGGUGAUGUAGCAGCACAACAUGGUUUGUAGGGACACAGAAGAUACAGACCGUUCUGGGCUGCCUCAUUACCUUUUGGGAUUAAGACACGAAAAGGG
rnacentral:precursor_RNA from 11 species